UGCCCUAGUAACGGCGAGUGAAGCGGCAACAGCUCAAAUUUGAAAUCUGGCUCUUUUAGAGUCCGAGUUGUAAUUUGCAGAGGGCGCUUUGGCUUUGGCAGCGGUCCAAGUUCCUUGGAACAGGACGUCACAGAGGGUGAGAAUCCCGUACGUGGUCGCUGGCUAUUGCCGUGUAAAGCCCCUUCGACGAGUCGAGUUGUUUGGGAAUGCAGCUCUAAAUGGGAGGUACAUUUCUUCUAAAGCUAAAUAUUGGCCAGAGACCGAUAGCGCACAAGUAGAGUGAUCGAAAGAUGAAAAGCACUUUGGAAAGAGAGUCAAACAGCACGUGAAAUUGUUGAAAGGGAAGCGCUUGCAGCCAGACUUGCUUACAGUUGCUCAUCCGGGUUUUUACCCGGUGCACUCUUCUGUAGGCAGGCCAGCAUCAGUUUGGGCGGUAGGAUAAAGGUCUCUGUCACGUACCUCCUUUCGGGGAGGCCUUAUAGGGGAGACGACAUACUACCAGCCUGGACUGAGGUCCGCGCAUCUGCUAGGAUGCUGGCGUAAUGGCUGUAAGCGGCCCGUCUUGAAACACGGACCAAGGAGUCUAACAUCUAUGCGAGUGUUUGGGUGUCAAGCCCGAGCGCGUAAUGAAAGUGAACGGAGGUGGGAACCCGCAAGGGUGCACCAUCGACCGAUCCUGAUGUCUUCGGAAGGAUUUGAGUAAGAGCAUGGCUGUUGGGACCCGAAAGAUGGUGAACUAUGCUUGAAUAGGGUGAAGCCAGAGGAAACUCUGGUGGAGGCUCGCAGCGGUUCUGACGUGCAAAUCGAUCGUCA
rnacentral:rRNA from 5 species